AUCACCAAUGACAUUGUUUUUCUAUUACUCGUACACUAGAUGGCGACAGACAACAGGAAAUAAAAAACAGACUGUGGUCAUGUGAAGAAAAUUCACUGCAGGAACCUUCACAAAGUGGAUUCUGGGUAAACCUUCAGGGCUCACAUCAGCAGGUGGGAUAGGUGAGAACAGGACACCUGUUGGCAAUUGUUCAUUGCGACCUGCCUUACCCCCUCUCACCCCGCCUGCCUUCACUUGCUCACCUGCUUGGAAACCUGGAACUCUUUCCUGGAGAAAAUGAGGAGAAACUCACCUGCUGCGAGGAGACUCAACCUGAGUGUGAAAGCUUUAAAUCUCUUGACUGUGUUCUGCGUUUGAAUCUUUUUGUGUUUAAUUAGAAACCUCUGCUAUAUUUGACAUGAACAUGCACCACAGUAACAGCAAAUAUAUGACCGGAAAUCAGGAGGAGAAUAAGAUCACAGCAUACACAGACAACUGAAGAAGACAGAAAAGGGCAACACCAUCAAAUCAAAAACGCCUGUUAUCUGAGUGCACAUCUGCCUGAGUCACCCAUAAGCAGAGCAUCUCAUAAUGUGAGACCAAACUCGAUUAAACGAGGAGUCCAGCUUCAGAGUUUUCUGUCUGGCUCUCUCUCCACCUCCAUCACA